rnacentral:rRNA from 1 species
GACGAACGCUGGCGGCGUGCUUAACACAUGCAAGUCGAACGCUGAAGCUUGGUCCUUGCGCCUGGCCGAUGCGUGGCGGACGGGUACGUGUAACGUAAGUACCCUGCACUCAGGUCUGGGAUACGCCAAGGAAACAGGAUCUAAUGCUGGGUCAGACAUGCCACUGCCUGGUGGUGUGUGGAAAGGGGUUUCCUGGUUUUCGAGGGGCUCACGGCCUAUCAGCUUGUGGGAGGGGUAAUGGACUACCAAGUCGACGACGGGUAGCGGGCGUGAGAGGGGGAGCGGCCACACUGGGACUGAGAGACGGCCCAGAUUCCUACGGGAGGCAGAAGUGGGGAAUAUUGCACAAUGGGCGGAAGCCUGAGGCAGCGACGCCGCGUGUGGGAUGACGGCCUUCGGGUUGUAAACCUCUUUCAGAGCGGAAGAAGAGAGAGUGACGGUACGUGCAGAAGAAGCGCCGGCUAACUACGUG